rnacentral:rRNA from 1 species
GAUUAACGCUGGCGGCGUGCCUAAUGCAUGCAAGCCGAACGGCUCGAUUUAUCGAGCAGUGGCAAACGGGUGAGUAACACGUAAGAACCUACCCUCAAGUGGGGGAUAACCCCGAGAAAUCGGGGCUAAUACCGCAUACGCUCUCUGAUUCUAUCAGGGAGGAAAGUUGAGGCGCUUGAGGACGGGCUUGCGUCCGAUUAGCUUGUUGGUGAGGUAAUGGCUCACCAAGGCUGAGAUCGGUAGCAGGUCUUAGAGGAUGAUCAGCCACACUGGGACUGAGAUACGGCCCAGACUCCUACGGGAGGCAGCAGCAGGGAAUAUUGCGCAGUGGGUGAAAGCCUGACGCAGCAACGCCGCGUGGGGGAUGAAGGCCCUCGGGUCGUAAACCCCUUUUCUCAGGGAAGAUGAUGACGGUACC